GAUGAACGCUGGCGGCGUGCCUAAUACAUGCAAGUCGAGCGAACGGACGAGAAGCUUGCUUCUCUGAUGUUAGCGGCGGACGGGUGAGUAACACGUGGAUAACCUACCUAUAAGACUGGGAUAACUUCGGGAAACCGGAGCUAAUACCGGAUAAUAUUUUGAACCGCAUGGUUCAAAAGUGAAAGACGGUCUUGCUGUCACUUAUAGAUGGAUCCGCGCUGCAUUAGCUAGUUGGUAAGGUAACGGCUUACCAAGGCAACGAUGCAUAGUCGACCUGAGAGGGUGAUCGGCCACACUGGAACUGAGACACGGUCCAGACUCCUACGGGAGGCAGCAGUAGGGAAUCUUCCGCAAUGGGCGAAAGCCUGACGGAGCAACGCCGCGUGAGUGAUGAAGGUCUUCGGAUCGUAAAACUCUGUUAUUAGGGAAGAACAUAUGUGUAAGUAACUGUGCACAUCUUGACGGUACCUAAUCAGAAAGCCACGGCUAACUACGUG
rnacentral:rRNA from 1 species